UACGUAGGGUGCAAGCGUUAAUCGGAAUUACUGGGCGUAAAGCGUGCGCAGGCGGUUUUGUAAGUCUGUCGUGAAAAUCCCCGGGCUCAACCUGGGAAUUGCGAUGGAGACUGCAAGGCUAGAAUCUGGCAGAGGGGGGGUAGAAUUCCACGUGUAGCAGUGAAAUGCGUAGAGAUGUGGAGGAAUACCGAUGGCGAAGGCGGCGACCUGGGACAGUAACUGACACUCAACUACGAAAGCGUGGGGAGCAAACAGG
rnacentral:rRNA from 1 species